CCUACAUGUAUAUGUGUACACACACACACGUGUAUACACACACAGAGUGAGAAACAUGCAUUCUGGAUGUGAAACACAGCGGACUUCAGAGACUCCAUAUGAAGGAGGGACUCUCUGUGUAGCCCUGACUGUCCUGGAACUUGAUCUGAAGACCAGACUGGCCUUGAAUUCAGAGAUCCAGCUACCUCCAUCUAGUAUUCAAGCUGGAUGUGAUGGCACAAACCUGUAAUCCCAACAUUGAGAAGACUGAGGCAGGAGGAUUGCUGCAAGUUGGAGGAUAGCCUUGGCUACAGCAUGAGUGACUGAUCUCAAGAAACAAACCAAUGAUUCUCUACAUAACUGGGGAGACCAGAAGUCCAAAUUCAAGGUGAGUGGGGCCUGGGUGAUGUUCCUUCCCAAAGCACCAGGGUGGAGCCUCUCUGGUCUUUUCCAGAUCCGGGCAAACCCCUUGUGUUCCUGUCUGUGAAGGCAGCACUCUGGCCUCACCGUCACAUGGCCCCAGCUCUUCUCUCUAUCCCUGGAUUCCCUCUGUCCCUCAUGUGACACCCGUGUAAAGGAGGGUGCCAGAUGACCUCAUCUCAAGAGUCUCCCUUACUCACCUUGGCUAAUCCCCCUUUCUUCUCCUCCUUCAUUCCUGGAGACAAGGUUUCUCGAACAGUAACAGCCCUGGCUGUCCUGGAACUCACUCUGUAGACCAGGCUGACCUCGAACUCUCUGAGAUCCACCUGCCUCUGCCUCCAAAUGCAGGGAUUAAAGGUGUGCACAAUCACUGCCACACGGUUACCCUUCUUCUAAUAGAUCAUGUUAGCAAGUUCUAGGAUUUGGGCAUGGUUAUAUCUUCUGAGGAGACCAGCAUUCAGACAGCUGCUGCAGAGUCUGAAGCAAGCAUCCUGAGGGAGGCUUCUUCUUGUUAUGAGAAUUUGGAUGUUUGGAUGAGGAAUGAUUGACCCUGAGAGAUAGCUUCAGGUGCCUAAAAUAGGGGGCGAGGCUUGACUUGCCUACUUUGGGGCAUAAUGAGGUCGAAUGGGGUCCUAACAAUAUAGGGGGCAAGUGUAGGUUGUUUAUUGGGCUUUGGGGGCAUAACCCAUUGGGACUGUCUGAGGUAGGGAGAUUAGCCAACUUGCUGGGGUACUUUCUCAUGAGUUGGGGUGACUGAGGUGAAAACUCAGGGGUAUAUAUUAAGGAGGAGAAGCCAGGGCAAGAGAGCAUAAGGCAUUACCAAAGUGGUGGGGCACACCUGUAAACCCAGACCAGCAGUUUGAGGCAGGAGGAUUGCUGGCUGGCCUGUGAGCCUGUCUCCAAACAGAAGAAACCAAACAAAAGCCACACACAUGUCUUUUAGGGUAUUAGUAAUCUUGCCCUGAUGUCACCUUUGGAGGUGACACCAUCUAGUGAGAUGACCAGAGUCAGGGACACUUGGGGCCCCUGAUCUUAGCGCAGUGACAAAGACUAAGGAACCAGAAUGUCUACUUUGGGGAACACUUACCAUGGAUGGGGCCCAGUUUUGGAACUGACACUGGAGAUUCAGUUGCACGGUUUAGGGAGUGUCAGUCGAAUACUGUAGUCUGAGUGUGUUGAAAUGGGGUCAUGUGAGGAGUGGAGGUCGGUUGGCCAGACCAUGAGUGAUCUACCUUAAGGCCUUGCAGAUUCAUUGAGGAAAACAGAAUUUGUUUGUCCAUUUCAGGACCCUCGUUUCUAAUUUGGGGAGCGAGUGCUAGUUUAGAGGUGACUCGUGAAGUUACUGGUACUGGUUUUGGGAAGACCAUUUCUGUAUCCUUAGGGACUGGCCUGGAGUCCUUGGUUAGGGUGUCUGAGGCUGGGUUACACUUAGAGAAGUGGUUGUUUAUCCAGGUGACCUGAGAUAACCCAACUGGAGACCUGGACUUGAUGCUGCCGGCUUCUCAGGGGAGGAGGGCUUCACCCACCUGGUGUGGGUAUCUAAUGAGUCUUUUAUGGAAAUCUGACAUUAGGGCCUCUGGGUUCUGUGCCAGUUCAGGGAGCUGCUCCCAAGGCAGCACCCCACCCUCCAAAACAUUCAGGGGGACAGCUCAAUCAGGGGUAACUUUCUUGGGGGUCACAUGCCUAGAAUACAUGCCAGUAGAGACAGUGGUGAGAUGAGGUGGGGCGCUGCUGCGGCAGCGGUGGGCUGCAAGCUGGGGAUCCCGCGGGAAGCGGAGCGCAGCGGGGCAGCCGGCGGCGGGAGGGCGAGCGCCGGAGUGACAGCAGAGGAAGAAAAAUGGGCCGAGAAAUCAGAGUGGACGCGCUGGGGGCGCGAGUCCGGGAGCGGGUGGCAGCGAAGGCUGCGGGUGGGGGCCGCGCCUCGGCCUCCAGGGAUGCCGCCCGCCUGCCUGUCGGGCCCCCGCCCUGGAGGCCACAUCCAGAGAUCCGACCCUCUCUCUUAACUCCCAUCCAGCGCAUCUUCGCCUGGUCCCCGCUCCCCCCCCCCCCCAAUCACGGUGCAGGUCCCUUCUGGUUGUGUACACAGCCCCCGUCUGCGUCCUAAUUCUAUCCCCUCAAGUUGUAUCCCCUCAGGUUGUAGCCCUUCUCCCCGUGUUCUUUUCUCCUUCCACCCACGUUCUAGGCCCCAUGUCGGCAUUCUAGUCCCCUCGCCCGGGUUCUAACCCCCACCCCGCAGAGUUAUAGCUCUUCUCCCCAAUUUCAUCUUCCUCUCUCCGUCUGUGUUCUAGUCCUCCCGAUUCAUUCUAAUUCCCCACUCCGCGUUUUGGUUGCCCCAUCAACCUCCUACUCUGCCCCGCCCGCGUUUGAACACAUACCUCUGCCAGUGUUCUAGUCCCCCGAGUCCCCCGUCUGUGUUCAAACCUCUCUGCCAGAGUCCUAGUGCCC